UACGGGGGGGGGCAAGCGUUGUUCGGAAUUACUGGGCGUAAAGGGCGCGUAGGCGGCCCGCUAAGUCGAACGUGAAAUCCCCGAGCUCAACUCGGGAACUGCGUCCGAUACUGGUGGGCUUGAAUCCGGGAGAGGGAUGCGGAAUUCCAGGUGUAGCGGUGAAAUGCGUAGAUAUCUGGAGGAACACCGGUGGCGAAGGCGGGUCUCUGGGCCGAUACUGACGCUGAGGAGCGAAAGCGUGGGGAGCGAACAGG
rnacentral:rRNA from 1 species